GAGGACUGUGGGUGGGGCUUCUGUGAAGUGUGGAGCCACCCAGGCUUCCUCUGCUGGGAUCUCUAAACACCUUGCUCCUACCAGCCUCCAACCUCACCGUCCCUCUCCCCAGGGCCCUGUCCUAGUUCAAAUGUAAAUUCUGAGAGGACAGAGAAAAUGAGAAGAAGCAAAGGGAACUACUGACUUAACUGCUCUGUAUUUAGGUUCGCUCAUCUGUAGUUUGUGUGUGUGAGAGGAAAAAUGCAUCAGGGCAAGCCAAGUGUUUAGAGAAAUAGCUGGUGCAAAGUAAUUGCUCAAUAACUGUUAGCUGUUAUUUAUUUAUUUGGAACUUAAUAUAGAUUCACUUCCAUACUAAGAGGACACAGAGUUGAAAAGACCCAAUGGCUGCCGCAGUCCAGUGAUGGAGAAGAUGUAGAAAUACACUAUGGUAAUACACUGUGUGUUAGAGAUAAUGGUGAGAAAUUGGAAACAGUGAUUCUUAUCAACAGUAGGACAUUAGCUCUGCAACAUUUAGACAGAGGAAUAUUUUGCAUAUUUAAUGAGAAAACAAGCCUAUGUGGAAAGAUGUUCACCCUAUAGAAUGUUUAUACAAUACUUCUUUUAAUAUGUUUAGGAGAAAGAGAUGGUUAUAACUGGUAGAGAAUGAUUUCAUAGAAAUUAAAUAAUGAGAACAAGCUUGGACAAAUCAAACUGUUAAUGGUUAUUGCUGGGUGGGAAGUUUGUGCACAUUUUUUUUUUUUCUCUAACGGUCCUUCUGAACACUUUUAACACUUUUCUGUAGUCAUCCUGUAUAACUGGUAGCAAAAGUGAGAAGUUUCUUAAAAUGAGAAGGAAAUACUGCAACGUCUCCAGUCUAGAGGAAUAAACGAAGGCUGAGAUGAGAGAAGAUGGAUGUGAAAAAUUUA
rnacentral:lncRNA from 1 species